rnacentral:rRNA from 1 species
AUUGAACGCUGGCGGCAUGCCUUACACAUGCAAGUCGAACGGUAACGCGGGGCAACCUGGCGACGAGUGGCGAACGGGUGAGUAAUGCAUCGGAACGUGCCCAGUAGUGGGGGAUAGCCCGGCGAAAGCCGGAUUAAUACCGCAUACGACCUACGGGUGAAAGCGGGGGACCGCAAGGCCUCGCGCUAUUGGAGCGGCCGAUGUCAGAUUUGGUUGUUGGUGAGGUAAAGGCUCACCAAGCCGACGAUCUGUAGCUGGUCUGAGAGGACGACCAGCCACACUGGGACUGAGACACGGCCCAGACUCCUACGGGAGGCAGCAGUGGGGAAUUUUGGACAAUGGGCGCAAGCCUGAUCCAGCCAUGCCGCGUGCGGGAAGAAGGCCUUCGGGUUGUAAACCGCUUUUGUCGGGGAAGAAAUCUUCUGGGCUAAUACCCCGGGAGGAUGACGGUACCCGAAGAAUAAGCACCGGCUAACUACGUGCCAGCCGCCGCAGUAAUAC